rnacentral:rRNA from 1 species
UGGGGAAUAUUGGACAAUGGGGGCAACCCUGAUCCAGCCAUGCCGCGUGUGUGAAGAAGGCCCUAGGGUUGUAAAAGCACUUUCAAUUGGGAAGAAAAGUUCCGGGUUAAUACCCCGUGGACCAUGACGGUACCUUUAGAAGAAGCACCGGCUAACUCCGUGCCAGCAGCCGCGGUAAUACGGAGGGUGCGAGCGUUAAUCGGAAUUACUGGGCGUAAAGCGCGCGUAGGCGGUUUUGGUAAGUCAGAUGUGAAAGCCCCGGGGCUCAACCUGGGAACUGCAUUUGAUACUGCCUGACUAGAGUAUGGUAGAGGGAAGUGGAAUUCCACAUGUAGCGGUGAAAUGCGUAGAGAUGUGGAGGAACACCAGUGGCGAAGGCGGCUUCCUGGACCAAUACUGACGCUGAGGUGCGAAAGCGUGGGGAGCAAACAGGAUUAGAUACCCGUGGUAGUCCA